rnacentral:rRNA from 1 species
CAUGUAGGCGGUUCGAUAAGUCCGCUGUUAAAGCCCCCGGCUCAACUGGGGGAGGGUCAGUGGAGACUAUAGGACUUGAGGGCAACAGAGGCACGUGGAACUCCCGGUGUAGCGGUGGAAUGCGUAGAGAUCGGGAAGAACACCAGUGGCGAAGGCGACGUGCUGGGUUGCGACUGACGCUGAGAUGCGAAAGUGUGGGGAGCAAACG